AGACGACAGACAGAGAGAUUCCUGAUCCUAUACCUACAGUACUAGACAGGGAUGCGACAGUGAGAGCACAGUCACCAGUACCUGACACACCCCCAGUAGCUCCGAGGGCGGAGACCCGACAGGAGACAGUAGUACCACCACCAGUACCUGUAGCGGCAUCAGGGACAGUGUUACCAGAGAUGGUGGGGGCUGAGGAACGAGAGCGGAUGAUGGAACAAUUGAAU
rnacentral:lncRNA from 1 species